UACGUAGGGGGCGAGCGUUGUCCGGAGUUACUGGGCGUAAAGCGCACGCAGGCGGUCUGCUAAGUUUGGAGUGACAGUUGGUGGCUUAACUGCCAAAGUGCUUCGAAAACUGACAGACUUGAGGGCUUCAGAGGGACGCGGAAUUCCGGGUGGAGUGGUGAAAUGCGUAGAGAUCUGGAAGAACACCAAAGGCGAAGGCAGCAUCCUGGGAAGUUCCUGACGCUCGGGUGCGAAAGCCAGGGGAGCGAACGGG
rnacentral:rRNA from 1 species